rnacentral:rRNA from 1 species
GAUGAACGCUCGCGGCAGGCCUAAUACAUGCAAGUCGGACGGGAUCCAUUGAUAGCUUGCUAUCAAUGGUGAGAGUGGCGCACGGGUGCGUAACGCGUGAGCAACCUGCCUCCAUCAGGGGGAUAGCCUCUCGAAAGAGAGAUUAACACCGCAUAAUAUCAACAGUUCGCAUGUUCAGUUGAUUAAAUAUUUAUAGGAUGGAGAUGGGCUCGCGUGACAUUAGCUAGUUGGUAGGGUAACGGCUUACCAAGGCGACGAUGUCUAGGGGCUCUGAGAGGAGAAUCCCCCACACUGGUACUGAGACACGGACCAGACUCCUACGGGAGGCAGCAGUAAGGAAUAUUGGUCAAUGGGCGGAAGCCUGAACCAGCCAUGCCGCGUGCAGGAGGACUGCCCUAUGGGUUGUAAACUGCUUUUGUCCAGGAAUAAACCUAAAUACGAGUAUUUAGCUGAAUGUACUGGAAGAAUAAGGAUCGGCUAACUCCGUG